UGGGUGACCUGCCCUCAGCUCUGGGAUAAGCCCGAGAAAUUGGGUCUAAUACCGGAUAUGACCUUUCCUCGCAUGGGGUUUGGUGGAAAGUUUUUCGGCUGGGGAUGGGCCCGCGGCCUAUCAGCUUGUUGGUGGGGUGAUGGCCUACCAAGGCGAUGACGGGUAGCCGGCCUGAGAGGGUGACCGGCCACACUGGGACUGAGACACGGCCCAGACCUCCUACGGGAG
rnacentral:rRNA from 1 species